AGCGGAGCAUGUGGUUUAAUUCGAUGCUACACGAAGAACCUUACCAGGGUUUGACAUGCAAGUGGUAGGAAGCCGAAAGGUGACCGACCCUUCGGGGAGCUUGCACAGGUGCUGCAUGGCUGUCGUCAGCUCGUGUCGUGAGAUGUUCGGUUAAGUCCGCUAACGAGCGCAACCCUCGCUGUGUGUUAUAUGUGUCACACGGGACUGCCGGUCUUAAGCCGGAGGAAGGUGGGGAUGAUGUCAAGUCAGCAUGGCCUUUAUAUCCUGGGCUACACACACGCUACAAUGGCCAGCACAGUAGGUUGCUAAGCCGCGAGGUGGAGCCAAUCCAUAAAGCUGGUCUCAGUUCAGAUUGCAGGCUGCAACCCGCCUGCAUGAAGAUGGAGUUGCUAGUAACCGCAGGUCAGCUAUACUGCGGUGAAUACGUUCCCGGGGCUU
rnacentral:rRNA from 1 species